AAUAAAUAGUGCGGAAAUAUAAACCUAUUCUAACCCUACACUACGCUUUUAUCCGACGCCUCGGGCCUUCAUCACGAUCAUCCUCUUCCAACAUAGUAUGUCGGGGCAUUCCCCGGUGAAUAAAUACAAUGAACCUCGGGGCAUUCCCCGGCUAAAUAAGUACAUUUUUCAAUGCGAGAAUAUCAACAUCAUUCAGCAAAUACUUCAAACAUUAAACAUUUCAUGAUCCUUAAGUUUGUCUACCCCAACCUAUCAUUUGCUUAUCGAUUCCGACCCUCAACAUGGUACUAUCACGUUUAGCAUAACCGAAGGAGUCAAAAUUAAACCGAAAUCACUUUAUCAAUUAAUCGGUUACUAUUCCCAAGUCCAUUCUCAACAUGAUUUAAUCAAUUCAAUAUGUAAUCCAUCAAUCAAAAAUUGCGACAAUCAUAGACAUUCGAACACACUAUCAAGAUUAUAUUAUCAAACAAUACAAACCAUGCAGCUUACGACAUCAACACGCCACAGAAACAUAAAAAUAAGCGAAGAAUAGGGUUAAAGAAUUGGACCUAGAUAGAGCGUCUUUUUUGUCGAUAAUAAAGAGAAAUUUGAAGACCAAAAUCUUGAACGGACAACCCCACAACAAAAAGAGCUCCAACACACGAAUUGAAACUUUCUGGACUGUGAAAAAUCCCCCCACAGCCCAAUAACGAGGACGAAUUAUGAAAGUAUAAGCACCCGAAGCCUUCUAAAAUCUGAUAAAAGAAUAAAAAACUGAUAGAAACUGAGCUCCGGUGAACUGAUUGAGACAAACAGAACCCCCAAAUCCCCCAAACCAGUGACGAAACUGAUAAAACCAAAACAAAAUUGUAACAGAAUAAAACGAGACCUGUAGAUGAGAUUUCAAAAUUUUGAGUUUGAAUUCAAUCAAAAUACAAUUUGUGAACCAAUUGUUCGCCAGAAAAAUAGUCAAAACGGAGGAUUUCUAUUGUUACCCUUUCUCCGUUCGUCUCUCAGGUCUCUCCUUAGAUCUUAGUAUCUCUCUUCUCGAUCUCCUUCCUUCAAUCUCUCUCGGUAUGUUCCUCUCUCUCUCUCACCUUUCAGUUCUUUCUUCAUUCCCCAUCUCCCUCAACGGUGUUUUUUUUGUGUGUGUCGUGAGCUAUGUGUGUGCUCUGUCAAAGGGAGAAUCUGUAGGUAUGCCUUUUUUUAAUUUUAAAUUCCCCUCUUCACUGGGUAUGCUUUGUUUCUAUCAAGAAAAAGAAAAAUAAAAAUGGAUCCCUCCUUUAUGGUUUCUCUGUAUCAUUAAUUGAUGAAGAAGAAACCCAUCUCUCCCAUUUUGAUAGUCAUCCUCUU
rnacentral:lncRNA from 1 species